rnacentral:rRNA from 1 species
UUGGGAGCUCACUGGCUUCAGAGUCAUGGGAACUCCGAAGUUAAGUGAGUUAGGGCUAAAGCAAUCCUAGGAUGGGUGACCCACUGGGAAGUUGCUCGUGAGUUCCCAAA